CUACGGGUCGCUGCAGUGAGGAAUAUUGCACAAUGGGGGGAACCCUGAUGCAGCAACGCCGCGUGGAGGAUGACGCAUUUCGGUGUGUAAACUCCUUUUAUCUGUCAAGAAAAUGACGGUAGCAUAUGAAUAAGCACCGGCUAACUCCGUGCCAGCAGCCGCGGUAAUACGGAGGGUGCAAGCGUUACUCGGAAUCACUGGGCGUAAAGGGCGCGUAGGCGGGUUGGAAAGUCAGGUGUGAAAUCCUACAGCUUAACUGUAGAACUGCACUUGAAACUUCUAAUCUAGAGUAUGGGAGGGGGAGAUGGAAUUAGUGGUGUAGGGGUAAUAUCCGUAGAUAUCACUAGGAAUACCUAAAGCGAAGGCGAUCUCCUGGAACAUUACUGACGCUAAGGCGUGAAAGCGUGGGGAGCAAACAGGAUUAGAUACCCCUGUAGUC
rnacentral:rRNA from 1 species